GACGAACGCUGGCGGCGUGCUUAACACAUGCAAGUCGAACGGAAAGGCCCUGCCUUUGUGGGGUGCUCGAGUGGCGAACGGGUGAGUAACACGUGAGUAACCUGCCCUUGACUUUGGGAUAACUUCAGGAAACUGGGGCUAAUACCGGAUAGGAGCUCGUGCUGCAUGGUGGGGGGUGGAAAGUUUCGGCGGUUGGGGAUGGACUCGCGGCUUAUCAGCUUGUUGGUGGGGUAGUGGCUUACCAAGGCUUUGACGGGUAGCCGGCCUGAGAGGGUGACCGGCACAAUUGGGACUGAGAUACGGCCCGGACUCCUAGGGGAGGAAGCAGUGGGGAAUAUUGCAAAAUGGGCGGAGGCCUGAUGCAGCAACGCGGCGUGCGGGAUGACGGCCUUCGGGUUGUAAACCGCUUUCGCCUGUGCCGAAGCGUGAGUGACGGUAAUGGGUAAAGAAGCACCGGCUAACUACGUG
rnacentral:rRNA from 1 species